rnacentral:rRNA from 1 species
UGAACAAGCCCGAUCCCAUCUGAUCUCGGAAGCUAAGCAGGAUCGUGCCUGGUCAGUACUUGGAUGGGAGACCACCGAGGAAGACCAGGGGCUGUAGGUA